UUGGACAGCGGCGCGGCCCCGCUUUGCGGGGGCGUGAGGAAAGUCCGGGCUUCACAGGGCGGGAUACCUGCUAACGGCAGGCCGGGGCGACCCGAGGGAAAGUGCAACAGAAAGAUACCGCCAUCGCAUCACGGGGGCUUCCCCCGCGGACGGUGGUAAGGAUGGAAAGGCGAGGUAAGAGCUCACCGGGACGCGGGUAACCGCGCCGCCAUGUAAACCCUAUCCGAAGCAACGCCAGCUGGGACGAUGCGGCGGCCCGCCGGGUCCCGAAAGGCGGCUUGAGCCGCGCGGCGACGCGCGGCCCAGAAAGAUCGUUGUCCACGACAGAACCCGGCUUACAGACGCCCUC
rnacentral:RNase_P_RNA from 1 species